rnacentral:antisense_RNA from 1 species
AGAAGGGCUUCCGGACGUCGUUUCGGGGGCCUUUUUCUUUUGC